CACGUAGGGAGCAAGCGUUGUCCGGAUUUAUUGGGCGUAAAGAGCUCGUAGGUGGUUCGGUAAGUCGGGUGUUAAACCCCCAGGCUCAACCUGGGGACGCCACUCGAUACUGCUGUGACUUGAGUCCGGUAGGGGAGCGUGGAAUUCCUGGUGUAGCGGUGAAAUGCGCAGAUAUCAGGAGGAACACCAGCGGCGAAGGCGGCGCUCUGGGCCGGUACUGACACUGAGGCGCGAAAGCCAGGGGAGCAAACGGG
rnacentral:rRNA from 1 species